AUACUUACCUGGCAGGGGAAAUACCAUCAUCACAAAGGUGGUUGUCCCGGGGCCAGGCUUAUCCACUGCACUCUGUAUGUGCUGACUGCUGUGAUGUUCCCAAAUGUGGGAAAUUUGACUGCAUAAUUUGUGGUAGUGGGGGACUGCAUUCGCACUCUGCCUUA
rnacentral:snRNA from 1 species